CCACGCCCGUCAGGCCCCCAACCCGGGGCCUCCAUAAAUAGCUCUGGCGGGCCUCUGCCACUCCCUUUCUUCUGUGCAGAGGGUUUCAUGUGGCCCCUGUGCUUACCUUCCCGGCCUCCUGGGCCUUACAGCAGAACGCGCUGCGGAGCCGGGGGAAGACACCGAGUCCGCUCUUGUGCAUCAGCCCUCUUGCAGGUUCCUGGUCCUUGAAGGCGGGCUCGUAGCGCGAGAUGUUCCGCAGUCUGGAGUCUUAAGACGCCUGUCGGUGGGUUAUCCUUAAAUAAAGCAUGAGAGCUCUGGAAAGCCAGCCAGGGGCAGAGCCCUUACCAGAAAUUCUGCAUUAACCUAGGCUGAAACCCUAAGGCUUGGAAUCCACCCCUCCUCGAGUGACUGUUGGGGUGCCCUGGACACGAGCAGAGCAAGCCCUUUUUCUCUGAACACGGGUUUUGCUGACAAGAUGUCUCCUAUCUGAUGUUGGGCAGAUCCUAGGAGCUUACAUCAUUCCUGUAUUAACCUACAUGAACUGCUGUCAAUUUUCUGGGCAGAAAGUUGGUUUUAAGUUUCCAAACACUUUGUAUUAGGUAGAGUUCACAUAUGUUUAUUUUGUUUUCUGCAAGUUCCUGGUUUAAUCAAAAGAAUUCCAAUAAAGUAUUUUAAAACAAA